UGGGGAAUUUUGGACAAUGGGGGCAACCCUGAUCCAGCGACGCCGCGUGAAGGAUGAAGGUCUUCGGAUUGUAAACUUCUUUUGGAGGGGAUGAAUGGCCUGGUGAAUAGCCAGGUAUGACAGUACCCUUCGAAUAAGCCACGGCUAACUACGUGCCAGCAGCCGCGGUAAUACGUAGGUGGCAAGCGUUACUCGGAAUCACUAGGCGUAAAGCGCAGGUAGGAGGUUUAGUAAGUCUGUUGCGAAAGCUCCCGGCUUAACUGGGAGAGGUCAACGGAAACUGCUAGGCUAGAGUGUGGUAGAGGAAGAUGGAAUUCCCGGUGUAGCGGUGAAAUGCGUAGAUAUCGGGAGGAAUACCUAUGGCGAAAGCAGUCUUCUGGACCAUCACUGACUCUGAUCUGCGAAAGCUAGGGGAGCAAACAGG
rnacentral:rRNA from 1 species